rnacentral:rRNA from 1 species
UACGUAGGGGCCUAGCGUUGUCCGGAUUUAUUGGGCGUAAAGAGCUCGUAGGCGGUUCGGUAAGUCAGGUGUGAAAUCUCCACGCUCAACGUGGAGGCGCCACCUGAAACUGCCGUGACUCGAGUCCGGUAGGGGAGUGUGGAAUUCCCGGUGUAGCGGUGAAAUGCGCAGAUAUCGGGAGGAACACCGGUGGCGAAGGCGGCUCACUGGCUCAUUACUGAGCUCAGGCGCGAUAGCGUGGGGAUCAAACAGG